rnacentral:rRNA from 1 species
UACGGAGGGAGCUAGCGUUGUUCGGAAUUACUGGGCGUAAAGGGCGCGUAGGCGGUUUGCUAAGUUGGAUGUGAAAACUCUGGGCUUAACCCAGAGCCUGCAUCCAAAACUGGCUGACUUGAGUACUGGAGGGGAAAGCGGAAUUCCUGGUGUAGCGGUGAAAUGCGUAGAUAUCAGGAGGAACACCGGUGGCGAAGGCGGCUUUCUGGACAGUAACUGACGCUGAGGCGCGAAAGCUAGGGGAGCAAACAGG